rnacentral:lncRNA from 1 species
GAAAAUAGCCAAAAAUAGCCGACCUGAGGAAGACUGCUGCCGGAGUACGGCGGAGCUGCCAUGCUAGAAUUUCAAAAUUGGCCAAGUGGGCUCUGGGACUGAUUUUGGGUUUAUUUGUGACAUUUGUAGAUAUUAUUAGUGCGUUUCAAUUCUUGAAAAAAAAUUUAGGGAACCCAGGAAUCGUUCGUAGGCACAGUCGAACAACUUAGCUUUUCGAGUAUCAAAUCGAG